UCUAACCACUCCCUGGGCCGUCGUGAACCACGCCACCGCCCAGCUUAGCCUCAUCCAUUCCACAUCACCUAUGGCCGGGGAGCCUUGAGCCGUUCUCCGCCCAGAUCCCGUCUCUCAGCCGUUCUGGCAGCGGCCGACAGCACUCGGCAAGUUACGGUGCUAGCAAAGUACGGCGAGCGGUGGUGGCGGGAAACGGCGAGUGGCUGCGCAUGGUGUUGUGGGAGUGGUGGUGGUGGCGGCAAACGGCGAGCGGCGGCGGCACGGGCUGAUGGGCUAGCGGGGGCUGGGGUCCAGGGCUGAUGGCCGAGCGGCGGGGCGUGCUAAUGAGCGACCGGCGCCGUGGGCUGAUGUUCUGCGCUGAUCAGUUCUCUAGCGAACAGCCGCCCGAGGCAAGGUCUUCUCCCCACCUAGCCAGAAGUUUGAUCCUUCCGAAGAGGUACCGUAUCACCAUAAUGAAAUCCCAUCCAUCUCCUUUUUUUUAAUUCAUACAUGCUGGAGUACAUAUGUUGCCAUUCAUCUGGAUUUUUCUACGAAUCAUUGUCUGAGCAGAUCGCUCGUUUCAAAAAUUGUCCAAGCAGAUCCCGUCCACCAGUGAGAUCGCCAAAUUCUGGUAGUUGUAUUGGGAAGUAAUAUUGGAGAUAAAUCGAGUUGUGAUAAUGCUUGUGAUACUAAUAAUGACGAUGGUAUCUAUGGCAAUAUGGGAGAUUAUAUAUAUGGUGAGGAACCUUAUGAUCAGUACGACGAUAAUGGUGAUGAGUCUGAUGAUCUUCGAGUCAUGCAACAAAGUAAAGUUAUGAAGUUCAUCGACAAUUAGCUUAUGCGAAAUGCUUGGACCAUUAUAUCUUAGUUACCAUUUUGUUUUGCAUUGGACACUUCUUAGAUGCAUCACUAUGGUCAUUGUAAUAUUGAUUCAACUCAUUAGACAUGUUAUACUUUUUGAUGUUAUGCUGAAUAUAAUAUAUUUUCUUUGGUCA